AUUGAACGCUGGCGGCAGGCUUAACACAUGCAAGUCGAGCGGAGUGAUGGUGCUUGCACUAUCACUUAGCGGCGGACGGGUGAGUAAUGCUUAGGAAUCUGCCUAUUAGUGGGGGACAACAUCUCGAAAGGGAUGCUAAUACCGCAUACGUCCUACGGGAGAAAGCAGGGGAUCACUUGUGACCUUGCGCUAAUAGAUGAGCCUAAGUCGGAUUAGCUAGCUGGUGGGGUAAAGGCCUACCAAGGCGACGAUCUGUAGCGGGUCUGAGAGGAUGAUCCGCCACACUGGGACUGAGAAACGGCCCAGACGCCUACGGGAGGCAGCAGUGGGGAAUAUUGGACAAUGGGGGGAACCCUGAUCCAGCCAUGCCGCGUGUGUGAAGAAGGCCUUAUGGUUGUAAAGCACUUUAAGCGAGGAGGAGGCUCUUUUGGUUAAUACCCAAGAUGAGUGGACGUUACUCGCAGAAUAAGCACCGGCUAACUCUGUACCAGCAGCCGCCGUAA
rnacentral:rRNA from 1 species